GAGGGUAUAGCUCAGUGGUAGAGUGCAUGCUUAGCAUGCAUGAGGCCCUGGGUUUAAAAACCCAGUACCUCCA
rnacentral:tRNA from 1 species